rnacentral:tRNA from 1 species
UGAGGUGUAGCCCAGUUUGGUUAAGGCGCACGGUUAGGGACCGUGAGAUCGCAGGUUCAAAUCCUGUCACCUCAA